CUUCCUCAGCAGCACUCCCCUUCAGGAACCUGAUAUUUUUCAGUUUACACUGUGGGUCCUCCUUUAGGUCUAAAAGCAGUUUGACUCCUGAUUCCCCUGGAUCAUUUCCUCUGAGAUCCAGCUCUCUGAGAUGAUUGGGAUUUAACUUCAAGGCUGAAGCCAGACUAGCAUAGCCCUCCUCUGUGAUACUGCAGUCUGAGAGUCUACAGUGAUAAAAUAGUCAUAAUUCAGUCAAGGCAAACACAACAAGACAUUUGCAGUAUAUUUAAAGUAAGAUUAUUUUUGUAGAUUAUUGGGGGGAUCAGUAGUACGUCAGGUACAUUGGAUGACAUUUGAAAGGUUGAAAAUAAUGCACACUGAGGUGGUAUUCCCACCCAAAAUGCAGUACUAAAUGCAUGGUGCUAUGGUCAAGGUGUCACGGAACGUCAGACAACACAUAGAUUGCAGGGAGGUGGGAGUUUAUUGAAACCAGCCAGUACAGGGUUCACGGGGAAAAA